rnacentral:rRNA from 1 species
UACGGGGGGGGCAAGCGUUGUUCGGAAUUACUGGGCGUAAAGGGCUCGUAGGCGGCCAACUAAGUCGGAUGUGAAAUCCCCAGGCUUAACCUGGGAACUGCAUCCGAUACUGGAUGGCUUGAAUCCGGGAGAGGGAUGCAGAAUUCCAGGUGUAGCGGUGAAAUGCGUAGAUAUCUGGAGGAAUACCGGUGGCGAAGGCAGCUCGCUGGGACGGUACUGACGCUGAGACGCGAAAGCGUGGGGAGCAAACAGG